rnacentral:rRNA from 1 species
CCUACGGGUGGCAGCAGUGGGGAAUAUUGGGCAAUGGGGGCAACUCUGACCCAGCAACGCCGCGUGAACGAAGAAGGAUUUCGGAUUGUAAAGUUCUUUAAGCAGGGACGAAGAAAGUGACUGUACCUAAAGAAGAAGCCGCGGCUAACUACGUACCAGCAGCCGCGGUACUACGUAGGCGGCAAGCGUUAUCCGGAAUUACUGGGCGUAAAGGGGGCGUAGGCGGUACGGCAAGUCGGUAGUGAAAUCCCGGGGCUCAACCUCGGUGCUACUUCCGAAACUGUGGGGCUUGAGUGCAGGAGAGGUAAAUGGAAUUCCGAGUGUAGCGGUGAAAUGCGUAGAUAUUAGGAAGAACGCCAGUGGCGAAGGCGGUUUACUGGACUGUAACUGACGCUGAGGCACGAAAGCGUGGGGAGCAAACAGGAUUAGAUACCCCUGUAGUC